CGCCCCUCGCCGGGGCCGGCCCAGCGGGUGUUGUGCGGCUGCGGGCCCGGCCGGGCCAGCGGGGAGCCUGACCGCGGGCGGCGCCCCCUGCAACCGCGGGCGGCUUCGGGACAAAAUCUCGUUGUAAUAAACCAGAGGAUGCGGCGUGUCCUGGGGCCGUCAUUUAAAGGGUCUGCCCUGCGUUGGAACCUUGCCCUGGGGCCAGGCCCACGAGGAGCAGCCCCGGGCUGCCCGCAGACCCCCUGCACAAAGCCCGCCGUGCUGCCCCCCGGGGCGUGACUCCGGGUCAGCUGUUCCUGUGCAAACUCCAGCAGUUUAGUGAAAUGCCGCAGAAAACAAGUGAAAUCACUAAGAUUGUCAGUUUUAUGCAAGUGAAAAAAGAAAGAAUCUGCAAGACUGAUUUUUUUUUUUUAAUGUCUGUGAGGCCAACAGCUUUCCUACACCAGAAAACAACCUCCUCUGCCCCAUCAAUACAUACCUGUAAUGGAGUUGGGCAAGUAUACAGUGUAUUUUGGUGAACAACUUGCAAAUGCCUUAUCAGGUUUUCAGGGCCAAUGGACCAACCAAGCUAAGGGAGGAAAGCAAGCAUAGUAAAAUUAAAAAAUAAUGAAAAUUA